rnacentral:rRNA from 1 species
AACGAACGCUGGCGGCAUGCCUAACACAUGCAAGUCGAACGAUACCUUCGGGUCUAGUGGCGCACGGGUGCGUAACGCGUGGGAACCUGCCCUUAGGUUCGGAAUAACUCCCCGAAAGGGGUGCUAAUACCGGAUAAUGUCUUCGGACCAAAGAUUUAUCGCCUUUGGAUGGGCCCGCGUUGGAUUAGCUAGUUGGUAGGGUAAAAGCCUACCAAGGCGACGAUCCAUAGCUGGUCUGAGAGGAUGAUCAGCCACACUGGGACUGAGACACGGCCCAGACUCCUACGGGAGGCAGCAGUGGGGAAUAUUGGACAAUGGGCGAAAGCCUGAUCCAGCAAUGCCGCGUGAGUGAUGAAGGCCUUAGGGUUGUAAAGCUCUUUUACCCGGGAUGAUAAUGACAGUACCGAGAGAAUAAGCUCCGGCUAACUCCGUG